rnacentral:sRNA from 1 species
UAGUGACCUCUCCAGGGCCCUGGAAGCCCAGUGACUCAGCAUGACUUAACAACCUGGCUUUCCAUGGGAGCCGAGAUAAUUUGCCACAUAUCCAGUGCAGGAUAAAAGCUGACGCUAUUUGGAAGAACAAUUCUAAGUUAAUAAUGAGAGGAAAAAAAGAAAGCCAGAUGUCUUUCCACUCUAGAGACAGGUUUUAGGACAGACAGAUACUGGGAGGUAGGGUCUGGGCCUUGCUGCUUUGGUCCAGGCCGGGGGUUACUACAGGACUCUUCUUUCUUGGUCAGAAGUGAUAAGGUUUAUUCCAAACUCUAAGAUGAUGUAACAUGUUGACCUUCUCUUUUUUGUAAGCUACAUGGACAGAUGGCCACUUGACAAGGUCGUACAAACACUGGGAAUUGGCUGACUCCGAAGUCGACGUUGGGGUUUUCAUUGCUGUGACUACCAAGGUACUUCAAAGCCACCAAGGGUGACCUUGUGUCCGAAUGCAAACUCAGAGGAGAAAAAUUUUGUCACUACAGCUUAAAACCAUGAGAACAAACCUAUCAAGGACAAGACUUGGGCCAGACUGCAGGAGAGGAGGCCUCCAGCCUGAUGUCCGGAGUUGGUAUCUGGUGGGAUUAAGAGAUACCGGGGCAUCCUGAUGACACUAGGAGGGGCACGUGGAAGUCCAGACCCCAAGUGGGAGAGGUAACUCAUAAUUUAUCAAGAUGUGAGCUCUCACCUAUUGCCCCAGCACCAUGCCUGCCUGCCUGCUGCCAUGUUCCCUACCAUGAUGGUCAUGGACUCACCAUUUGAAACUUUAAUUCCUAAUAAAGACCUUUUCUUUUAUAA